rnacentral:miRNA from 12 species
UGUGCAUUUAUAUAAAUAUAUAUAUGUAUAUAAUAUAUAAAUUAUAUAUAUAUGUAUAUAAUAUAUAAAUUAUAUAUAUAUAUACAUACACACACAUAUAUAAAGGACAUAUGUAUGUAU